rnacentral:hammerhead_ribozyme from 1 species
AGUCGAAACACACCCACGGGGUGUGUCUAGGUGGGAUGGUCUCCACCUACUGACGAGACAGACCAAC